GUAAUUUUCACAUGGAUUAAUUUUAGUUUCGAUAAUUAAGCUUGAUUAAAAGUUGUAGAGUGUUUAUUUAAGGCUAGCAGAAAAAAUAAUUUUUUUGAAGUUGUUUUAUUAAUCUGCUUUAACAGAAAAAUUUUUCUAUUUGCAAAUAAUAAUUUUUGUAGCUGAAUUUUAUUUUAAAAUUUGAGUUCAAUAUCUGAAUUUGAUUCUAAAAAUUUUAAAUUUUAAAUCAAAAGUGGAAUUUUAAAUUUGAUAUUUAAAUUUAAAUUUUAAAUUUUAAAAUUUAAAGUUUAAUAUGUAGAAUUUAAAAAUUUUAAUUUUAAUUUUAAUAUGCAGAAUUCACAAAUUUUAAAUUUUAAAGUUUAAAUCUAAAAUUAAAUUUUAAGUGGCUAUUUAAGGCCUGUUUGAUCUAACUAUGUGGAAAUAGUGUGGUUGAAAAAAAUACUGUUCGAAAUAGUGAAGGUGCUUUUAAAAAAAACUAUAUAAUAGUGUUGAUGGCCGAAUUUCCUAAUACUUUGACCCUCCUCGGGAAGCGUGUCGAAGUGGAAAUCGGCUACUGAUCGUGACCCUCGAAGUUUGCGCCCACGACGGGUCAAGCGAUUCGACCGAUGAGGGAUCAGAUCGGCCGGGUCCGAAAACCUCCUUAAGUAAAUUCGCUUCGGCAAAAUGAGCCGAAUGAACAGGUGGGGCCUAUAUUUCGGCUGAGAGAUGAACCGAAUAGUCAGGACAAAAACGAGAUCUGGUCGGCCUGAGGAGCCGAAAACGACUUUUCUAUUAAUAAGAAGGGAGUGAUGCCCGGAGGGCAGACAGACUCCGAAGUGUACAAGGGAGUGAUGCCCGGAGGGCAGACAGACUCCAAGGCGUUUACAAUGAAGUGAUGCCCGGAGGGCAGACAGACUUCACAGAGGCUAAGUUACAAGCACUACUCCUAGUAAAAAGCGAGGAAAAAUAAAGGUGGUCUCUUGUGCGCAGGGGCGAAGACCCCUUUUCAGGGUACUACAAGUCUAUUUAUAUAUUUUCCCCUUGUGUUCAGUUAUUGCACGAUCGGCCAUCUUCUCCGGAUUGGAGGACCACGUUCGGCCGAUUGGAACUGCCAUUGGGAACUGCCCAUAACCGCUUACGGUUGUCACGUUUUUCAAACAAACGCAGUUCAUAUCUCCUGGCGCGUUUUCCGUGCUCCCGAUCCAGCGCUAUCCUGAAUAUGAACUCAGUGUGCCAACUGUCUGCGCCGGAUUGGUUCAACAAAUAGUGUUUGGCUAAUUUUGUUAUAAAAAUAUUAGUCACUGUGGAAAGAUGUUUGGUAAAAUUUAGAUAAAUUAUUAUAAACUAAUAUAAAAAAAUAUAAUAAAGAUAGAUUUAAUUAAAUGGUCCCAUUAAUAAUUUUAAAUUAACAGUCCCUAAUUUUUCAUGUUUUAAAAUUAAAUGAAUUGGUAAAUUAAAUUAACACUUUUGUCAAAAUUUCAAGAAUUUCAUAAAUUUAUAAUUUUUAACUGCUUUUUAUCAAACAAAACUAAGACAAUUAAUUCCUGAUAUUUAAUAAACUUAUUAUAUUCAAUAUUAAUUUUUAUUUAACAAAAAAAAUAAUUCAAAUUAAAAAAUUAGAAGUUCAACCGAGUUAAUUGUGAGUAAAAAAUUAAAAAUAUUGGAAACUGUUAGUGCCACAAAAAUUGCGCCACGUGGUAAGCCGGGAUGCACCGCGGAAAUGGCUCCCAAAGCCAAACAUAAAAUGACAUGUGGUGCACCAGGAUUUGAGAAGAAUGCACCCAAAAAUCAAAAAUCGGUUAGAGUUGAUGCAAUUAGCAUUGGCUAAGAGUGACCCGCAAAAAUAGGGAUAUGGUCGAUAGUGAGAAAUAACUGAAUAAGUAACAGAUAAAACUAUAAAUAGUCAAAAGACGCUUGAAAAAGGGUCUUUCCCCCCUAAGAACAAAAAGACCAAUUUAUUUUCGCGCACUUUUCUGCUUUUCUAGAAGUAGCCUACUUGUAAUUUCUCUUUCCCUUGCAUUUCUUGCUUUUCUAGUAGUUCUAAGUUAGUUUCCGUGAAAAUCAAACGCCUUAGCGGCACCUACCUUUCUGUAAACGUUCUUCUUCUUCGGUAAUAUAUAUUCAUAUCAUUCAGCUCAUUUCAGCCAAACCGAAUAUACAGUGUAGCAUUUGAACUCGGCUGAUCAGAUCCUUUAUCGGCCGAAUCGCUUGAUUCUUUUGUAGAUGCAAACUUCGAGGGUCACUAUCAGAAGCCACUCCACUUCUUUACGC
rnacentral:lncRNA from 1 species